GAGAUGGAUAUUGGAGAGACCCUGCAAUAAGGGUACCUUGUCACUCAUGGAGCAAUACUGCCAUCAAGCGGAAUUGAUUUCCUGUUUCUAAGAACAAUCCUUAGGAUCCCAGGCAUCAGUUCCCUUGAGAGCUCAAAGCAGCCAUAACUUUCAGCCCUCAAAAUCUUCCUAGUAAGGUUCUCCAGCAAGCAGAAAGGAUUCUAGUUUCCCCUACCAUUCCCUGACCGAGAUCCAAAGAUCACAGCAAAUGGAUUCGCUUUUUCCCUUUCGCUUUCUCUGCCAGGGCGGAGGGAGAGAACCUGGGGUAAGGAUAUAUUGGCAUUCUUGAUACUACACUGCCAUCCAGCGGAAUACCUUUGCUGUUCCUGUCUACACUUCCAAGUGCUUUUUCUCAGCAGAUGUGAAGAAUUUGCAAGUAUGUUGCCGAUGUAUCUGCUCUGAGGCUGCUGACUCUUGGGAAGAAAGAAGUUCUCCUGCCUGACAAAUAUGGCUGCCACUGGACAUUGAAGCCGGCACUGCCUAAGGAAUUCUGGUUAUUACUCAGCUGUACAGCAAGCUUCUGAUGCUGUCAAUGGUGAGGUCCCCACCUGUGAUCUGGACGUCACCUGGACUUGGAUCUGUUACUUCAGUUUUUAUAAGAGUCCCCCAAAUAUAUUUCACAUUCCUUCACCCCC
rnacentral:lncRNA from 1 species